UGAUUUAAUUAAUUAACAAGUGACAUUGCGCGAAUAGAUUUUGUAAAGAAGUUGAGAAGCUCACCACCGGUAUCUUUCUGACGCAACUGCUCGGCAGUACGUAUAACAUCUCUCUUGUGGGAUUUAAAUUAGCGGGGGAUGAUCCUGAUAAAUUUAAAUACACAACGCAACUGUCGAUUGCAGUGAUUCAACUGUUUUUGUGUAAUUGGCCGGCAGAUGUUCUUCUCACGGAGAGUCAAGCCGUAGCAAGCGCAAUAUACUUUAUACCGUGGUAUCGCUUUUAUCAACUAAAAAGGUCUCUAAAUAUUAUGACGAUGAGAUCUCAGAAACCAGCACAGAUGACCGCCGGGUACAUCGUACCGUUAUCUUUGCAAACUUUCGCAUCUGUUCCGCUGAAAGACAGACUAUAAGAUUGAGAUUACAAGAUUUGUCGAGCCAGAAUCGAUUGCAAAAAGGAAACAAACAUCACGAACGAAUUCAAUUAUUUUAGUUAUACAUCGGAAGAAUUUAUAACAGUGCUGCAAAACUUUUAUCGCGAUGGUAAAAGUAAAUUACGAGUAAGGAACAUCGUCGUUUACUCUUCGUCGUCAUUAAAGCGUAACAAUGAAAAUAUACAAAAAUAGAAAAUAAGCCCAACUAAAAUAAAUCAAGUCGAUUAUCAAGAUUUUCAAGUCAAUAAACCCCAAAACGGAACAUACUCCUAGUGGGCUUUAAUUUUUUAUAAACUUGCUAAACAAAAUGUGCACCUUUUGGGUAUUAUAAAUUAUGCAAUGUAACUCACAAUAAGCAUACCGCAACAUUUCUCUCAUAAAUCCAUCGGAAUAAAUGUAAAAAAACGAAUAUCCAUGCUUAUUCAUGCUUUUAAUCGUAUCAUAAUGCAUACGACAAGAUAUUUCCGAACCAAUAUGUUCCAACUAAUAACGAGUAAUCAAGUUAAACAAUGACAGAGAAGGCAAUGAGAACGAGAGGCGUGAAGCGCAAGAACUAUUAACUAUUAUUAAUUAUUGCACAAACUACGUUUACAGCAGUAAUUAAGUUGUCAGCCAAUCUAAACGCUGAAUCAUUAAACCAAGAUAAUUGGCCUGGAUCGUCGAUGAAGUUGACCCCGGGCAAUUUUAAUUCAAUAUUCGUAAGCACUCUCGAUGAUGACGAUCUCGAAACUGAAUCCCCUUAUUUCGAUGCUAAUCGUUUAUCCGUCCGUAAAACCGCACGGCUGAAACCGAUUAGCGGCGGCUCCUUUAGCAACAAGUUGCACCUCGUGUGUUUUCUACGGAGUUUCCUAAAAUCAACAAGUGAACCCGUUUCCUGCCUAGAAUUUCUAUAUUGCUUUCUCGUUCGACUCCACAGGUGGCAAACUGGUAACGAGAACGACUUUCCGCGAAAUCUUUCUCUAUACGGCGGGGGGGCUAGUUUAUUCGCCCGUCUUAAUAAUCGCCACACUUGUACGAGAACGAAUAUUCGCUUCGUUUUCUCUUUCCUUUCUUCAUUACGACAAUGCCGAACAUUUUUCUUCGGCUAAUCGCGUUAAGAAAUAUAUACGCGAUGCAAUUUGAUGGAGGAAUAUAUCGGCGGUAUCUUUGUUUCUGGAAUGUGAUAAGAGGCGUUUUAAUAAAGAGUCGACGGCGAA